CCCAGAGGCCUCUCUGAACUGGAAGUAGGAACAGGAAAUCCUUAGAUGAGAUUCAUCUUGGAAAAAUGCAAGCUCAUACAUCUGGGUACAGCUAAUCCAAACACAGCCUGAGAGAGCCACAGUGCGGAGCAGGGGGGCGGACUGCCACCCGCAGGGCAGCCGAAGGGGCCCAGCCAGGAGGUCACCUCUGCACAGCCUCUGAUUCUUGCUUGUUUUUUAGGGCCGCACCUGUGGCAUAUGGAAGUUCCCAGGCUAUGCGUCGAAUAGGAGCUGCAGCUGCCGGCCUACACCACAGCCACAGCCGUGCAGGGUCCAAGCUGCAUCUGCGAACUACACUGCAGUCCUUAAGCCACUGAGCAAGGCCAGGGUUCAAACCCAUGUCUUCAUGGAUACUAGUCAGGUUCCUUAUUGCUGAGCCGCAGUGAGAACUCCCUACAGCCUCUGAUUUUUGUGGAGGCGGGGGUUGGCUUCAGUGUGGGCAGCGGGAGGCUGGGGACUUAGACAUCUGGGAACCCCAAGCCAGGUUUAUUGGAAAUAGAGGGCUGAGGUCUCGCUUCCCAGCUGGCCGGGCAGUGACCUGGUGGUCCAGGGAGGGGAGGGGAGGAGCAUGCCUACCAUCAGUGCCGUGGCCUUGCCCACUGGUGCCCAGGCCUCCACUCAGUGGGCACUGAGGAUCUCCCUCCUCCCUCAAAGACCUCCCUGGGCCUGUGGAAAGCCCUGUUUUCCUCUGUUCUGCAGUCUCUCAAGACCACACGGGUUUGAUCUGGAUUCCGGCAACCCGAAGAAGCACCGAGGCACUGUAGGAGAGAAACCAGGUGCCCCGGAUGAAGAGGAACAGAAGUGGUGGCAGUCCCGUCGUGGCUCAGCAGAAGCAAAUCCGACUCGUAUCCAUGAGGACACAGGUUCCAUCCCUGGCCUUGCUCAGUGGGUUAAGGAUCUGGCAUUGCUGUGAGCUGUGGUGUAGGUCGAAGAUGAGGCUCGGAUCCCGAGUUGUCGCAGCUGUGGCAUAGGCUGGCAGCUACAGCUCCGAUUCAACC
rnacentral:lncRNA from 1 species